AUUCCAGCUCCAAUAGCGUAUAUUAAAGUUGUUGCAGUUAAAAAGCUCGUAGUUGAAAUUCUGGCUUAUGAGUCGUAAGCUGUAAUAGCUUCGAAUUCAAAGCCAUCCGCUUGCAAGCAUAUGUCCGCCAGUCAAACGGUGGCUAUGUGAGUUAGCAAUUUACCUUGAGAAAAACAGAGUGUUCCAGGCAGGCUUGUCCGGAAUGCAUUAGCAUGGAAUAAUAGAAUAUGACUGAAGUCGAUUUAUUGGUUAAAGACUACAGUAAUGAUUAAUAGGAACAGUCGGGGACAUUAGUACUUGGCAAUUAGAGGUGAAAUUUUUUGACUUGCCAAAGACUAACUAAUGCGAAAGCAUUUGUCAAGGAUGUUUUCAUUA
rnacentral:rRNA from 1 species